GACGGACCACCCGAACGUUAUUCGGAAUCACUGGGCUUAAAGCGUGUGUAGGCGGCUGAGAAAGUUGGGUGUGAAAUCCCUCGGCUUAACCGAGGAAUUGCGCUCAAAACUACUUGGCUUGAGGGAGACAGGGGUGAGCGGAACUGAUGGUGGAGCGGUGAAAUGCGUUGAUAUCAUCAGGAACACCGGUGGCGAAGGCGGCUCACUGGGUCUCAUCUGACGCUGAGGCACGAAAGCUAGGGGAGCGAACGGG
rnacentral:rRNA from 1 species